AUUGAACGCUGGCGGCAGGCCUAACACAUGCAAGUCGAGCGGAGCGGGGACGGGUGAGUAACACGUGGAUAACCUCCUAUAAGACUGGGAUAACUUCGGGAAACCGGAGCUAAACCGGAUACUUAUAGAUGGAUCCGCGCUGCAUUAGCUAGUUGGUAAGGUAACGGCUUACCAAGGCAACGAUGCAUAGCCGACCUGAGAGGAUGAUCGGCCACACUGGAACUGAGACACGGUCCAGACUCCUACGGGAGGCAGCAGUGGGGAAUAUUGCACAAUGGGCGCAAGCCUGAUGCAGCCAUGCCGCGUGUAUGAAGAAGGCCUUAGGGUUGUAAAGUACUUUCAGCGGGGAGGCGUUACCCGCAGAAGAAGCACCGGCUAACUCCGUGCCAGCAGCCGCGGUAAUAC
rnacentral:rRNA from 1 species